rnacentral:rRNA from 1 species
UACGAAGGGGGCGAGCGUUUGUUCGGAUUUACUGGGCGUAAAGCGCGCGUAGGCGGCUUUGUAAGUUAGAGGUGAAAGCCCGGGGCUCAACCCCGGAAUUGCCUUUAAGACUGCAUCGCUUGAAUCCGGGAGAGGUGAGUGGAAUUCCGAGUGUAGAGGUGAAAUUCGUAGAUAUUCGGAAGAACACCAGUGGCGAAGGCGGCUCACUGGACCGGCAUUGACGCUGAGGUGCGAAAGCGUGGGGAGCAAACAGG